UUUUCUGAGCAAGUGUAGUAUUGACAUGCUAUUCUGGUGACUGAAGGGUUAAUAGCUUCUCUAAUUCUCUCUCUUUUCCUCUCUCCCCCCCCCUCCAUCCAUCCUCCUGUCCCCUACCCCAAUCCUAUCAUGUGCCUGGUUGACACUGAAAGCAGGGCUUGAAGUUGCCCACAGGGUAACCCUUUUCCCAGCUUUCUCCCAGGCCACCUGGGCAGAGGGAGCUUGCCUUCUGUCCUGAGGACACAGAAUCCAAUCAAGGCACUGGGGCUGCCAGUCUCCCUGACCUGUGAGUUGGGGAGAGGGAGGAGAAACAGAGGCAACUCACAUGAUAGGAUGGCUUGUGUGUGUGUGUGUGGUGGUGGUGGGGGGUGGGUUUAGAGGGCUCCUGGCUGGACUACUGGUGGGAGGAAGUUCUAAGUUAUUUUCACGAUAAGGUGUCAUUCAUGGGAGCAGUGUGCUGAACUAAUCAGGUUAAUUGAGAGGCCCUGGAUGGUCCGCAGUGAGCCCAUCUUCCCUUGCUGUUAAAGGCAGAUGGUUCAGACACAGCGCACACAUUCUCCUCCUCUCUCCGAAUCUCAGGGACUCUGUGGGCCGGCAGCUGAACGUCAAUCAGACUCUCUGAGCAAGGGUUCUCACUAUAGAAAGGUGAAGCAGCAGGACAAUAAAAUGGCCAGCUCUUCUGGAAAUUAAACAGUGCCUUGGGGAUGUUGGAUACUGUCUUUGUGUUUUGUUUUUUUUUUAAGAUCUUAAAAUAAUCUCAGCGUUUCAAAUCAGCCAAGGAAAAGGCCGCCAGUGGGAGAAUCCAGAGAGACCUCCCCCUCCCCCUCCCGCUAAUUUAAGAUGGAAACGUACACCACCAAUCUGGUGGUGGUGGGGUGUCUUCCUGACAAGGAGCUCCCGGGCCUAGGGAUGACUUCUUUGGUUUUGGAGCUGGACGCUGGGGGCUGUGUCUGAAUGCGUGGAAUCCCAGGCCUGACCGUGGAGCUGACCGUGGGGCUGCGGGAGUGGAGGAGAAAUAAAGCCAGUUCACUGCAUUCUGUCCGGGGGGGGGGCCCUCCUCCCUCUUCCACACUCCAAAUAAUUUGUCAUAGUUUAAUUUUAAACACUGUCAUUGACUAUUCUUUUAUUUUUUUUUUUAUCCCACCUCUUCCCGACCUCCCCCCCCCUACUUUUUUUUUUUUUCUUGGAAGUUCCAGGAAUGACUUUAAUUAUCUCCACAAUCAAAUUCUCAUUGCUGCCUCCUUGAAAGUGUGUAGUCAGAGAUUGCAGGGAUUAUUUUCUUUAGCACUUGGGGAUAGAGAAACCCGUUGUUUCAAAAUGAGAACCGGCUGGUUCCACAGAGCCCUCAUUUACCAGGGAGCCUCUUAGUACACAAAGCCUGCGCUCAGGUCAGUCAUUACGGCGAACCUCAAAUCAGCAGUGUUUGGGCUAUCACUCUUUAUUAAAUGUCAAGCAAAGACUGUUUAGCCGAUACGACGAUAAUAAUAAUUUUAAAAAAAUCAACCCACCCCGUGUCUUUAAUUUUGUCCCAGCUAAACAUUUGAAUUUGGAAGGAAUACCUCUUAAACUUCUUCCUGUGGCAAUUAUAAUCCUGGGCCUAGUUUACCACUUUCUCUUGGGUGGUUUAGGGUGUGUAUGUGUGUGUGCACGCGUUUGUGUGUGUGUGUGUGUGUGUGUGUGUAUGCGAGUGAGGAGAGAGAGGAAGAGAGAGAGAGAGAGAGAGAGAGCGAGCUCACAAGCUUUAAGUCUUGGUUUUCAUCCUGUGUGGGGCUUUCUUAAAUGAAGGCCAUAGUUAACAGAAUGACUCGAGAGCUCUUGAUAAGCCUCUUGAGAUAAUUUGGUGGUAAGCAAAAUGCAUUCUCGGGAUAUACUCAUUUCAAGUGCUCUGUGAGUGGUACAUUUUUUAAGGAAGCUAAUGUCAUAGUACUGUUCAUGGAAAUUCCAAAGUAAAUAUUAUUAGGAUGUUUUAUAAAGAGAGAGAAGUGAGGGGCAGACACACACACACACACACACACACACACACACACACACACACACACACACACAGGUAGGGUCUGGCUUGGGGUUCCACAGAAAACAUCUAUCAUUUAACCUGGGCUCUUCCAGACUGCACUGGACCUGUCUAGGCUUAAGAAGAAUAAUAUAUAGAGAUGAGAGACCAGAAAUACCACUGUUUUAUGCCAGCUUUAUGUAACAGUUUAGGAGACCUACUUAAGAUCUGACCACGGCACGAGAAGUGAUAUGUUUCCAUUUCUAAAUAGAAUUGUCUGCAAGAGAUGAGGGAAAUUCCUUCCUGUGAAAGGAACAUAAUAAAGGAGCCUAGACUUUGGAAUCCAAUGGCCUGGAUUUGAAUUUUGGCUAUUACGAUACCUGGCAACAUAUAUUAACUUCUUCUACUCCUUAAAUUUGUCCAAUGGGGAGAAUAAUACCAGCGUUAUUUAUAGGAUCAUGUGUUGAGAAGUACAAGAUAUGAUUCUGACCUGUGAUGAAUAUACAAAUCAAAGACAUUAAAGAUAAAUCAGAGACAUUUUUUAUUUCCAUUAUGCUUCUGAAAAUUAAAGAGGGAUAUUUGAUAUACCCACUGUGUUGACAAGGCAGUCCCCUCUAUGACGCAGAACACAAUCGACAUCUAUCAGAGGUUUCUAGAAUGGAUUCACCAGCUAACCUAGAACAAAAAUAUAGUCUGACAUUUGAAAAUGUCUUGUUUUCCUUUACGGUGAAAAUUCCUCCAAAGAGGAGAGGAAGAUGGCAGGCUUCCAAGCUGCACCCACAAAAAGAUGGCCGUUUUGUUUUUAUUUUAACUGCAAGUGGCCAAGAUUUCCCAACUGUUCUAUUUUUAUGAAUUUUAAAAGUUUCAUUGCUGGGUCAGAUUUAGGGCCUGUGUGGGAAAGGACAGUUUCUGCCAGCAAGCAAGAUGCCUGCUGGGUUGUGGUCUCCAUGCAGUUUUACAUUCCAAGCAUUGCUGAACCCUACAUAUGGGGGAGCCCUAAAUCACCCGAGCUUUAUGUGAGUUUGCGACCUUUCCCUUUGGACCUCAGAGUGGACGCAUGGUUUGAAAACUGGAGAUAUGAUGCUAGUGACUGCCACAGAUUCCGCCUCCCCCAUCUCCCGGCCCCGCCCUUCACUUCCCCAGUUGAAGUCAAAGGUAAUCUUUAUAUAUAGCACAGGAAAUAUUUGGGGCUGCUAAUAAACAAAUGCUAGAAAUGAUGAGGCUUGAUUGUGGAGUGUCCCUCUGCAUGCAUUUGAGAUGGAGAGAUGAAGGAGGGGUUUGUUUCCCUACAGGAUUCAGAUUUUUUGGACAGACAGGUAUCAGUAGGUGCUGGGCCUGCUAUAGGAGAAGUCUGUGGAUUUGUAGGCCCUGUGGCGAUCCUUCUCCUUGGGUUCUUGGUCAACCCCCCCCCCCCUUGGUCUCUGGGGCUCUGCAGAUUUCACCUUUCCCUUCACCCCCAAGGGUGUGAUGCCUACUGGAGUGGCACCCUUCCCCAGAGCC